AGUGAACGCUGGCGGUAGGCCUAACACAUGCAAGUCGAACGGCAGCACAGUAAGAGCUUGCUCUUACGGGUGGCGAGUGGCGGACGGGUGAGGAAUACAUCGGAAUCUACUUUUUCGUGGGGGAUAACGUAGGGAAACUUACGCUAAUACCGCAUACGACCUACGGGUGAAAGCAGGGGAUCUUCGGACCUUGCGCGAUUGAAUGAGCCGAUGUCGGAUUAGCUAGUUGGCGGGGUAAAGGCCCACCAAGGCGACUAUCCGUCGCUGGUCUGAGAGGAUGAUCAGCCACACUGGAACUGAGACACGGUCCAGACUCCUACGGGAGGCAGCAGUGGGGAAUAUUGGACAAUGGGCGCAAGCCUGAUCCAGCCAUACCGCGUGGGUGAAGAAGGCCUUCGGGUUGUAAAGCCCUUUUGUUGGGAAAGAAAAGCAGCAGGUUAAUACCCCGCUGUUCUGACGGUACCCAAAGAAUAAGCACCGGCUAACUUCGUG
rnacentral:rRNA from 1 species